UGCAACUUGCCGCGUCAACCCAUAACCCCCACAGCUCGUCAUCGUCGCCCACCAUCGUCUUCUUCGUCUCUCCCCUCUGCGACUUGUUGCCGUCGAUCCACUCCCCUUACUAUUCGCCAGCAACCAACUCAAACAGACGAGUCUUUCCUCUGCAAUUCAUCUUCUUUGUCCCGCUUCAACUUUUAGGUGAGUCUGUAAUUUUAUUCAUCUUCUUCGUCCAGCUUCAACCUUUAGCCUUCGUCUUCUUCCUCUAGGACUUGUCUUCUUUGUUCGCCUAUUCAAUUAAUCAAAUUUUUUGGCCUAUUCAAUUUAUUCGAUAUGUGUAUAAAUUCGGUAGACUCUAUUUGGUUUUUUACAUCAAUCCAGUCUACUUAGAGGUUGUUUCAUUUAUUGCAAGCUUAAUCUUGAAUUAUCGUUCUUGCGCGGUCCUCACUAUUCGUGCCCUCAAUUUUAGCAGGUGAACUAAAUCGAAGGCGAGUCUUUGACCCUUACCUAAAUCGAAUAUUAAACUCACGACUUACUAGAAUUAACUUACUAGAAUUAACUUCAGCGUAUUACUUGUUCACUACUUGACUUAUGUUCUGAAAAUAAUUUCAAGAUUAAUCUUUAUUUUUCUUUCUCAUUUAAAAAGAAAAAAAUUUUAAUGAUGAAAUAACAUUAUUGGUGGUGGUUAAUGUGUACAUUGCAACACCCGUGUCUUCACAUUCUUAAUUAGGUCUACCUAGUUAUUUCUAAAAUUAUGGAGUUAAAAAUUUUAUUUUCAACUAGCCUACACUUAGAUUAGAAUAUUGCACAAUAUAUGUUAACCUCGAAUCAAACAACACAUAUCCUCAAAUCUAAGGUUUAUACAAAGCCUUCGAGACUAUUCUAUUUUUGUGUUAAGUUUGUCAAAAAUAUUUUAUUUUAAUGAAAAACUAACUUGUUUUUAGAUUAAUAAUUGUCUUAUAGCAACCUCUUCAGACGUAAUAAAUUUUGUUUUAUUCCACCAUUGAUAAUGAAUCAAUUUUUUAUUCAUCAUUUCGCAUUCCCUAUAUAUUUAAUCGAUAACUUGUUUCAAUAAGUAAAACCAUCAAGAACUUGUCAACAAAUAACAAAUUUAGAACCGAGGCUGAGUGAGACUGAACUUAAAUAGACUGCCUAACAUAUAUACAUAUAAUUUAGUAGAUAAAACUAAACUAAUGUAAUAAAACCAAAUUCGUUAUUAAUAUUUCAUACCUUUUGUAAGUACCUUACUUUCUUUGUCUUCUUCACUUGAAUAAUAAUUUAAAAUUUAAUCUUUGGCCCGUACUCCACGUAAAGAUUUUGUCAACGAAGUAACUUGUUUGUGAUCUUGGUCAUAAUUGUAAGCAAAAUAUUAUUUAUAUAUUUUUGUUGAUACUUCAUUAGUUAAUUACCAAUAUAUCCCUUACUUAAUUUAAUGUAUAUUUAUAAGAUUGUAAAUAUAUAUUAAAUGAGGGGCAUAUUAGUAAUUGAAUAAUAAGAUGACAACAAAAAAUGUCAACAAGGAUAUACAAGUAGCAUUUUUUUAAGUGUAAUGUUUGUUUAAUGUUAUUGUUUUAAAGAAAUUUAUUCAUAUGUAUAAUUUAUUAUAUUUAAUUUUAAUAUAACUAUAAUUCAAACACAAUCAAUUAACUACUAAAACAUAGAAUUAUAAUUAAUUAGCAUUACUAUCCCAAAAACCAAAUUUAAUUAUACUUAAAUAUUUGCUAAUAUGAGAGAAAAAAAAAUAAAAGAUAGAAAAUUGUCCGCCAAAAUCACGUACCAAACAGGGCCUUAGUCAGCUCCCUCGCUAUAUUACUUCAACACGUUUGUAGUUACUCUUCUGCCAUUUGCUUCUCCAUUGAAGACUCUCCCAUCGCCGGAGAUCCCCUGAGAGCGACCGAACGACGUCUUCUCUGUAGGUUUCCGGCGACUUAGGGCUUGAAUGGCGUCGGAACAAGUAGUAGGUAUGGCGAAGAAAUGGCUAUGUGGACUAUCGUCUAUCUGGCGGUGGAUUGACGAUGGAUAGUGGAAUUAGGCCCAUGAUUGCGCUUUCUUCAGCAUCUGCAAAUCUCCGGUCGCAGGCGGACUCACCCUAGGAGUUUCGAAGAACUUCAAUCCACUGACUCAAGGAGUUUAGCAAGGAUUCCAACAAGAUAAAGUUUGAAUUGUAAUGGCAGAUGUGGUAAGGAAAAUGAAUGAGAGGGUGGCGUUCAUGGUUGUCAAUCUAGCAAGGAUUUGAAGAUAACUGGAGAAGGGAUUAUAGGUCCAGUGUCAUGAUUUCUUCAGCAUCUGUAUGUCUCUCACUGCCAGCAGCAUCACUAAGAAGUGUUGGUUCUUGCUCACUCUUCUUGACUUCCGUUUUCAUUUUCACUGCAAUUCAAUGGAUGAUGCAUUUCAAAUUUUUCUCAAUCUGCUCCUUGAAAUUGUACUGUCUCAAAGUUUAACUUAGAGUCAUCAUACAGUUGCAGUUGUGUUGCUCAGUUUUUGAAUUGAUAUUUGUUGAAGUGAUGUAUCAUGUUACUGUUGUUCUCCGUAGACAUAAAAAUUAUGGAAAUAUGCAACCAAUGUAUUCUAUAUUGAUUAUUAGGUGUUAUUAAUUUGUAAUCUUCAAUGUUCACCUUCAAGGUUUAUCAAAUAUGCACAUUCACUGGUAAUUGAAUAGUUAUUGUAUUGCUGGUAUUUUGUUUUAUCAAAUUAAUGUUUAAUUUUUGUUUUGUUUCUAUCUUUGUUCUCUUGGUUGCUUUGACAAUGCUGAACUAUAUAAUUGUGAGCCACUUUGCCUCGAUGUUCAUGUACUAAAAUUGGGAACUUCAGGCGCUUUUAGCUUCAAAGGCACAAGUUCUAUUCUGUAUUGAGCUUGAGCUAUGCAGGCAUGAAAAUAAAUACCUUACAGGUGAAGUUAUGUGUUGCAUUUUCUGAUUAAAAGCUUAACAACAUACUGGAUUGGUUGGGAAAUUUAGCAUAGGAGCGCCUACAUGAUUGCUUCACAAAAUACAUUUCAGUCUUUGGUUUUCACUUUUCAGUAAAUACUUGGAGCGGAAAUUGAUGAGUUGACAUAAAUUUAGGUUAUGCUCCCUGGUUUCUUUUCUUUGUCCUCAAAAGCCAGUUGAUGCCCAAAAACAAAAACAUGUUUUAAGUUUCAAUGCUGUGCAGAAAUCACUGUCAUACUAAACAUAAAAGGCUGCUUUAUGUUUGCUAGAUGCUUGCUAAUUCUACAGAUUUACUUACCUCUUCAUAAAGCAGUCCUUCACAUAAAAACUGGUGAAUAUAUUCAAUGUCAUACCAACUAGGUUAUCAUUCAAUUGCUGGUUAAAGUAGGAGGCGUGACGGAUUCUAGUGUAGGUGCUGGUGCACAGUCAUAGGUUUGUGUUUUAUGUUGGACUGGCUGAUCUGAUUUGAUAAUCCUGUUCAAAUUUUACAGGUGGUGAAAGAUAAAUGCUUGUUGCAUUUUUAACUUUUCAUGUAUGCCUAGGGGAUAUGAGUACAGAAAAUAAUCAGCCUAGUUAAUUACAAUUAAUUUUUGAUUCGUUUCUCUUUCAAAUGGGGAUUUAUUUCCAUUUUAGAACUUCUAGUAGUCAUGCCGUUCAUUUUUCUCCAAAGCACUUGAAGAGUUAAAAAUCAAAUUUUGAGUUUGAGCAAUUGUUGCUAAAUGGAGCUUUCUCCAAAAUGAAUGUAAAGAGAUUGGAGUACUAAAUCUGACAGAACCUUGGAAAGUUCAGAAUUAAAUUUGUUGAGCAUGAUGAAUUAGGUCUUAUUAAAUGAUCCAAAAAAGAUGUAUUCAUUAAAUUAUGUGCUGGAACUUGAGUAUCAUCGCUUGCAUCAAUUCUCAUAAGAUGUAGGCCCUUGUGAUUCUAAUAGAUGAUGCCAAACAAUACUCAUAUGAAAUGAUAUGUUGAGACACAAGGGACUGACUUAUUUUUCAGAGUGUAGACUCUGGCUUGACUUCCAAAUUUUUGAAAAUGUUAUUAUUUUUCUAAAAAAAAACAAAAUGUGCUCAUUUCAAGUAGCUUCUGGUUGGCAUGAGAUUAUCACUCUGUGGAGUGGGGUUUGUUUUUCUUUCUACUAAGGUAAGAUGGCUGUGAUUUACAAUAUAAUGAAGAAUGCACAUUAACUGGGAACCAUGCAUAAUUUUUAACAAGAACCAUAUAAACCUCUAUUCAAAUAACUGCAUUUGGUCUAUCUACAUUUCAAUUAAAGUUAGCCGACCUCACAUGGUGAGAUUAAGGCUUGAUAUAUUGUUGUGCAUAUGAAUUAAAGUAGUGCAGGCAUGUUUUGUUUUUCUGCCAUUAGCUCUCGCAGAGAUGAUGACCUCACUCCUCUAUGCCUUGGAACUGGAAAUAUGCUGGAAUCAUUACCAUGUUGCAAUUUACCCACUGGACAUGGGAUGAGAGAGGCUCACUGUGCAGUUUUCUAUGAAGAAGAUCCCUGUGCUUCAAACAAAGGAUGUGUUCCUUCCAUAAUGGAAUUUGUAGGUAACACCUUGUUGGUCUGCAAUUAUUUUUCUGAGGUUGAAAGUUUAAGGGCCAUUUAAACACAGUUAUGAGUUUUUUUAUUGUAUGUUUUCUGUUUUAUUUUCAAUUUUCAAGUUCAUUUUUCAUUGUCAUUUACAGAAAAUGAAAAAUUAACAUGUCGUUUGACAACUUUGUUUUUUGGUUCUGUAUUUUAUUUUUUUUAUCUCUGUUUUUUCUCCUCGCCCUCAUCGCCAGUGAGCAGAGGAGUCACCGGCAUGAUUGCCAUAGCCUCCCACAUAGUUUCUCAAGAUCUGGGAAUUGUUUGACUCCCAGAAGGCUUCAUUGCACCAGAAAACUAGUAAUUUUUGGUUCUUCUUCGUGCAAACAAGUCAAAGAGGACAAUUGUUUGACUCCCAGAAGGCUUCAUUGCACCAGAAAACUAGUAAUUUUUGGUUCUUCUUCGUGCAAACAAGUCAAAGAGGACCGUCGAUUGACAGUUGGCUGCAAACAGUGAAGGGGAAUAUGCUUCCAUUCUCAAAGAACAAAAAUUUCUGGUCUGCUUCUUUGCUGUGACUGCAGCAAGUGGCAGUGUGCUAGGGAUUUAUUUAUUUUGUUUACAGAUUUACUUAUCUUGUUUUGCUUUGGUUCUUUGCUGGGAGUUGCUGGAGUAGGGUUUCCAGUGACUGAUGAUGGUCACCAAGAAUUCCUCCAGUGAUUUUCAGGCAACCCAAGGUCACCGACUGAGAGGACAGGAGGGAGGGAAAAAAAUGAAAAGGAAAUGAAAAUUGUAAAAACAUUUUUGGGUUGGAAGUGACAAUAACUGACCAUGGGAACGAACUAACUGCCAUACAGGAAAAAUACAACCAUACAAAGAAUGAAAAAUCUGAGAAAUUGCAACAUUGAUGGCACACACAGACAAAUGAUAUGCAAAUGGAGAUGGAUUCAUUGCAAUUUCAGAACACUAAAUCAGAGUCAGAGAAUGAGAUAAAGGCUCAGGAGAUACUGCAAUACUUUAUUCAGAUAGAGAAUUUGCAAGAGGAGUUAGCCUGCAAAACCAUGGAUAAAAAGAGAAUACUGGAGGAAAAAGAGACCCUAAAAAUGUAGGUGCACUCCCUAUGAAGCCAGAAGAGCAGAUAGAAAAUAAAAAUCAGGAAACUGAUUGUUUGAAAGGAGAAAAUAAGGGAUCGCAAGACAGGAUUUCUGAGUUGGAGAGGAUAUUGAAAGAGAAAGGGGAUGAGCUAUUAACUGUCCCAAAGAAACUCGAGGAUGUACUAGAUGAAUCCUUUACUCAAAUUACAACCUUAACAAUGCAGGUUAACAGUCUCCAGCAGGAUUUGGAUUCUGUCCAGUCUGAGAAAAGCCAAAUGCAGUUGCAGAUUGAGAGAGGUAUUCAGGAAUCUUCAGAAAACCUGACUCAAGCAGAGAAUCAGAAUACCGAGUUAGCACAAAAGGUUGUUGAACAGCAAAGAAUGCUGAAAGAACAGGAGGAUGCUUUCAACAAAUUCAGCGAAAAGCACAAACAACUUGAAGUUUUGUUCCAAGAGUGCAAGGAAAACCUUGAAGCAGAUGAAAGAAAGAUUCCAGAUAUGACAGAAGAACUCUGGACUACUAUUGAAUCUAAAGAAAGUUAAGUUGUUGAAGUGGAAGACAUAAUUGAAGAUCUGAAAGAGAGCUUGAAAUGAAAGGAGAUGAAGUAAGCACAUUGAUGGAAAAUGUCUGGAAAAUCAAAGUUAAGCACUGCCUGUCAAACCAAAAACUUCUACUGACUUAGAAGGAAGAGAGCCACAAGAGUAAAGAAGAGAAGUUGCACAAAGAACAAAUGUUGCUCAAACAAAGGAUCGCUAUUUUGUCUGAAACAGUGGCAAUCUACAAGCAAGCUCAAGUAAAGAUAAUGGCAUACAUCUCAGAGAAAGUCAAGAACACCAUAACAGAAUUUGACUCUCUUACCCUCAAGUGUGAAGAAGUCACUGAGCACUUUGAAUCCUGCGUUUAUGAAAUCAUAAACGAGCUUCAGGCCACAAAGAACUUGCUCGAGGCGGCAAAUAGCGAGAAAGACAAAUUAAAGCAGGAAGAUGGACUCAGCGAUGAACUGCCAUUUGAUCUCUAAAGAAUGGAUGCAGAUGAUGGGCUGGAAGAUGCCGCUUCAGUUCUCAACGGUGAUGGGAAGAAGCGCAGGGCACCACUUUAGUAUUCUGGCAGCAUUGGACGGUUCAGAAAAACAGUUUUCAGUAUGAAGGUUUUGGAGCUCUGUACAAGGUCUCGAUCCCCAACUCAGUGAAGGUGUUGACAUCAUUCUUGAAGUAAAUUUCUGUGUGCGCGCGUGCUCGCGCGCGGGUGCGAGAGAGAGAUGGUAAAUUCUGGCCACCUUUCCUAUUAAGUGUCUUUUUCUUCCUUUUUCCUUUUUUUUAUUUAUUAUUCAGACUGUUUUGAGGAAGCUUGGAAACAUAGCCUGUUCUUAUCCAGUCAUAUACCUGCAUAGGUUAGUUUAUAACUAUUUAGUUAGGGCAUUCUUGGAGUUGAGAUGAGGGUAUCUGAUUGAAAACACAGAAAAUGUUUAUUUGUUUGACUUUCUCCUAUUUUUCCCAAAAAAAGAAAAGGAUUAGAGAAGAUAAUUCUAGUCACUUUUUUCCAUUAAUCUUCAUAAAAGAUUGGCACAAAUUGUGUUAUAGUCGAGGUCUAAUUUAUGAUAUGCUAAACUUAUUAGUGACACAAAUUUUGUUUAGAAAUCAAUCUUGUGUCUAAAUUAAGUAACUUCGAACUCGUUUGACAGAACUUUUAAUUUUUUAUUUUGGACUUUAAUUUUUUUUGUUUAAUUUUUUGUGUUAAGUUUUCAUUUUUAUGUUAAGAAAAAUAGAACUAAACAUGUUGAACAACUAUGGUUUGUUUUGAGUUCUUGCUUCCAUAUUUAUAUAAUUUUUUUAAUUUUUCCACACUAGUCAUUCCUGCCCCCAUUGCAUUUCCAAAAGACCAUGGGAGUCAAAUGAGGGUUUACCAAUGACCACCACUUUUUGGCGA